rnacentral:rRNA from 1 species
AUGAACGCUAGCUACAGGCUUAACACAUGCAAGUCGAGGGGCAGCAUUUUAGUUUGCUUGCAAACUAAAGAUGGCGACCGGCGCACGGGUGAGUAACACGUAUCCAACCUGCCGAUAACUCGGGGAUAGCCUUUCGAAAGAAAGAUUAAUAUCCGAUAGUAUAUUAAAACCGCAUGGUUUUACUAUUAAAGAAUUUCGGUUAUCGAUGGGGAUGCGUUCCAUUAGUUUGUUGGCGGGGUAACGGCCCACCAAGACUACGAUGGAUAGGGGUUCUGAGAGGAAGGUCCCCCACAUUGGAACUGAGACACGGUCCAAACUCCUACGGGAGGCAGCAGUGAGGAAUAUUGGUCAAUGGACGAGAGUCUGAACCAGCCAAGUAGCGUGAAGGAUGACUGCCCUAUGGGUUGUAAACUUCUUUUAUAUGGGAAUAAAGUAUUCCACGUGUGGAAUUUUGUAUGUACCAUAUGAAUAAGGAUCGGCUAACUCCGUGCCAGCAGCCGCGGUAAUACGGAGGAUCCGAGCGUUAUCCGGAUUUAUUGGGUUUAAAGGGAGCGUAGGUGGAUUGUUAAGUCAGUUGUGAAAGUUUGCGGCUCAACCGUAAAAUUGCAGUUGAAACUGGCAGUCUUGAGUACAGUAGAGGUGGGCGGAAUUCGUGGUGUAGCGGUGAAAUGCUUAGAUAUCACGAAGAACUCCGAUUGCGAAGGCAGCUCACUAGACUGCAACUGACACUGAUGCUCGAAAGUGUGGGUAUCAAACAGGAUUAGAUACCCUGGUAGUCCACACAGUAAACGAUGAAUACUCGCUGUUUGCGAUAUACAGUAAGCGGCCAAGCGAAAGCAUUAAGUAUUCCACCUGGGGAGUACGCCGGCAACGGUGAAACUCAAAGGAAUUGACGGGGGCCCGCACAAGCGGAGGAACAUGUGGUUUAAUUCGAUGAUACGCGAGGAACCUUACCCGGGCUUAAAUUGCAUUUGAAUAAUCUGGAAACAGGUUAGCCGCAAGGCAAAUGUGAAGGUGCUGCAUGGUUGUCGUCAGCUCGUGCCGUGAGGUGUCGGCUUAAGUGCCAUAACGAGCGCAACCCUUAUCUUUAGUUACUGACAGGUCAUGCUGAGGACUCUAGAGAGACUGCCGUCGUAAGAUGUGAGGAGGGUGGGGAUGACGUCAUAUCAGCACGGCCCUUACGUCCGGGGCUACACACGUGUUACAAUGGGGGGUACAGAAGGCAGCUACCUGGCGACAGGAUGCUAAUCCCAAAAACCUCUCUCAGUUCGGAUCGAAGUCUGCAACCCGACUUCGUGAAGCUGGAUUCGCUAGUAAUCGCGCAUCAGCCAUGGCGCGGUGAAUACGUUCCCGGGCCUUGUACACACCGCCCGUCACACCAUGAGAGUUGGGGAUACCCGAAGCCUGUGAGCCAACAGUUAAAUGGGGCAGCAGUCGAAGGUAGAAUCAAUGAUUGGGGUG